AUACGGAGGGUGCGAGCGUUAAUCGGAAUUACUGGGCGUAAAGCGCGCGUAGGCGGUUUGGUCAGUCGGAUGUGAAAGCCCCAGGCUCAACCUGGGAAUGGCAUUCGAUACUGCCUGACUAGAGUAUGGUAGAGGGAAGUGGAAUUUCCGGUGUAGCGGUGAAAUGCGUAGAUAUCGGAAGGAACACCAGUGGCGAAGGCGACUUCCUGGGCCAAUACUGACGCUGAGGUGCGAAAGCGUGGGGAGCAAACAGGAUUAGAAACCCCAGUAGUCC
rnacentral:rRNA from 1 species